rnacentral:rRNA from 1 species
CUACCCUUGACAUGUCAGGAAUCCUUGAGAGAUCGAGGAGUGCCCGAAAGGGAACCUGAACACAGGUGCUGCAUGGCUGUCGUCAGCUCGUGUCGUGAGAUGUUGGGUUAAGUCCCGCAACGAGCGCAACCCUUGUCAUUAGUUGCUACGCAAGAGCACUCUAAUGAGACUGCCCGGUGACAAACCGGAGGAAGGUGGGGAUGACGUCAAGUCCUCAUGGCCCUUAUGGGUAGGGCUUCACACGUCAUACAAUGGUACAUACAGAGGGCCGCCAACCCGCGAGGGGGAGCUAAUCCCAGAAAGUGUAUCGUAGUCCGGAUCGCAGUCUGCAACUCGACUGCGUGAAGUUGGAAUCGCUAGUAAUCGCGGAUCAGCAUGCCGCGGUGAAUACGUUCCC